UAGUUCCCCAACCGUUGCAGGAGGCCAGCCCCCGGCAGGGUUUCCUGCCAUCGUAGACAGGAAAGGGGGAGCCGGUGGCUUCUUUAGGGAGGGGACGGGCACUGGAACCCUGGGUUCCAGACCUCUGUUGCCGGCUGCGUUUCACAGGGAGCUCUGGGGUUGCUGGAGCCCUCUGGGCGCCGAGUUCCACCCACGGAGUUUUGCGGAUGAUGCCAGGACAACAGGUGACAAAUGGGUUUGUUGUCAUGGGCACUGAAGACCAGCUGAGGUCACCCAGUGACUCUGCCAAGUGGACAUUUUGACUCCUCUUUAUGGAGUGGAGAAGGUCUGAUCCAGGUAGCCUCAGGUCUCAUUCGGAGGAGUCUCUUAGGCCGUGAUUGUUUAAUUGCAAGGAGCAAAGACUCAUGCAAAGAAACUGAGGUGAACAGGGAGUCUCGCACACGGUCAGGACCCAGAAGGUUCUCCAGAAAUCCAACAGAAUGAUUCGCCAGAGGAGCCUAGAGCAGAAUUUUUGGAAAGAGAAAGGAAACCAGUGUUUACCGAGAACCCAGCUCACGAGCUCACGAUCUUCCUGCCUCAGCCUCCCGAGUAGCUGGGAUCUCAGUGUGCACCACUGUCCCUCCCUCCUCCGUCUGUGGUGCACGGUGCGGAGACGGCAGGCAUCCUGUGCCCCCUUCCUUCCUUCCUUCAUCGACGGAGGAGGCCUCGUUUCCUGGUUCGUUUUACAGAGGAGGAUCCCAGGUCCGAGGAUCCGAGAGCUGAGACGGAGGGGAUCUGACACUCAAGGCCUCCGGGACUUGGUGUCCCCCUUCCUGGACAUCUUGGUCAGCUUCAGGACCACAGUGAGGGGAGGCACCGGUCCUGGGCACUGCGCCACCUGCUGGAGGUGGAGGAGGACAGGAUCAUUUCCAAGACUGAUUAUUUCACCAUUGAAAUCCCAUGUCUCCCAGAGGACACACACAUUCAGACACAGAGACACACACACAAAAAAACAUUUCAGGGAAGGGAAGCGGAAAGAUGAAGUCUCCGCUGAGCUUUAGGCAGCUUUUCUAGACGGCUUCCCGGCUCUCUGGCUAAUGGGAGAGAUGAUAAACGCUCCCGAGGUACCACUUCAGUCAAUUAAUUAGUUAAUGUUUAAAGAUGGAAAGUGUCAUGCAGAUGGAGGAACAUUAUGACUCUCUUCAUAAAAAAGGCUUAAAGUGAGGAAAAACAGGA